rnacentral:rRNA from 1 species
GGCAUGCAGUUCGAGCGAGAACCCCGCAAGGGGGGACAGCGGCAAACGGGGUAGUAAUGUGUCGGAACGUGCCCAGAGGACGGGGAUAGCGGCGGGAAACUGCCGGUAAUACCCGAUGAUCUCGAGAGAGCAAAGGUGUGAUUCCGCCUUUGGAGCGGCCGACAUGGUAUUAGCUAGUUGGCGGGGUAACGGCCCACCAAGGCUUUGAUGCCUAGGGGAUGUGAGAGCAUGAUCCCCACCAUUGGGACUGAGACACUGCCCAGACACCUACGGGUGGCUGCAGUCGAGAAUCUUCGUCAAUGGGCGAAAGCCUGAACGAGCGACGCCGCGUGCGGGAUGAAGGCCCUUGGGUUGUAAACCGCUGUCGAGGGGGAUGAAGGCAUUCAGGUACUCCUGAAUGUUUGACAGAGCCCUGGAGGAAGCACGGGCUAAGUUCGUGCCAGCAGCCGCGGUAAUACGAACUGUGCGAACGUUAUUCGGAAUCACUGGGCUUACAGGGUGCGUAGGCGGCUAUUCAGGUCAGGUGUGAAAGCCCUCGGCUCAACCGAGGAACUGCGCUUGAAACCGGAUGGCUCGAGUCAGCUAGAGGUACACGGAACUUCCAGUGGAGCGGUGAAAUGUGUUGAUAUUGGAAGGAACACCGGAGC